GGGGUUGCCAUUUUUCAAGGUGCGAUGGAAAUUGAGGGGGCUCUUCCUGAAUAUGAAAUGAUUUCUAUCCUUCCAUAUGCACCAUAAUACAUUUGCAAUCAAUUCAAAAUUAUGCCUGGCUCAUUCCAAAGUUGUGUUACCCAAGGGCAAAGAAGAAGUGUAUGUUCGAUCGUCUCUGGUUCGAUGCCGCAUAAUGGACAUAUAGGUGCAGGUGCUACCCUUCUUCUGUACAGAUUAUCCAAAGUAGCAAGAGGGGACUCCGGCACCAUUUCUGGAUCUUCAAGGAGUUCAACUUGUUUCCCGUAAAACACUUUGCCAUAAGGGCUGAGAUCCCUGACUUCAGCGCGCAACCAAUUUCCGAAAUUACCUGGUACUAUCUCCUUUUCCUUCCAACUUCACCUCAAUAAACUGUGCCAAUCUUGGAGGCUAUAUCUUGGACAAUCUCCUUUGUCACUCGACCAAACGGGAGUCCAUGGAAUUUAACCCAAAAGGCACAGUGAUCAAAAUCGUAACAAAUUUCUGGGAUAUCCGGAUCGCAUUGUUGGAGAACAAGGAGGUUGCUUGCAAAAGACCACGGGGCGGAGUCUAACACCCUCUGUUUUUCAGCUUCAGACUUGAAGGAGAAGGAGAAAAAUCCUAGUUCAAGCGAGAAAUUCCUUGUUGAAC